rfam:Pseudonocardia sp. SCN 72-86 ABS81_C0067, whole genome shotgun sequence.
CGAGUCGGUCGGGCGACCGCGUCGACGGCCUCCGGGUCGUUGCCGAGGAAAGUCCGGACUCCGCAGGGCAGGGUGGUUGUCAACGGCAACCCGGGGCGACCCGCGGGACAGUGCCACAGAGAACAGACCGCCUCCGAUGAAGAUCGGGGGUAAGGGUGAAACGGUGGUGUAAGAGACCACCAGCAUCCCGGGUGACCGGGGUGGCUAGGUAAACCCCACCCGGAGCAAGGCCAAGAGGCUCCUGCGAGGGAGCUGCGCAGACGUUCGAGGGCGGCCCGUCCGAGUCUGCGGGUAGGCCGCAGGAGUGCGUCGGUGACGGCGGACCGAGAUGGAUGGUCGCCGAACGGAGGGCCGCAAGGUCCCCGGGAACAGGAUCCGGCUUACAGACCGACUCGUCCG